AACGAACGCUGGCGGCAGGCCUAACACAUGCAAGUCGAACGAGAAGCCACCUUCGGGUGGUGGAAAGUGGCAGACGGGUGAGUAACGCGUGGGAACGUGCCUUUCGGUUCGGGAUAACCCAGGGAAACUUGGGCUAAUACCGGAUACGCCCUCCGGGGGAAAGAUUCAUUGCCGAAAGGUUGGCCCGCGUCGGAUUAGCUAGUUAGUGGGGUAAUAGCCUACCAAGGCGACGAUCCGUAGCUGGUCUGAGAGGAUGACCAGCCACACUGGGACUGAGACACGGCCCAGACUCCUACGGGAGGCAGCAGUGGGUAAUAUUGGACAAUGGGCGAAAGCCUGAUCCAGCCAUGCCGCGUGGGUGAAGAAGGCCUUAGGGUUGUAAAUCCCUUUCAGCGGGGACGAUAAUGACGGUACCCGCAGAAGAAGUCCCGGCUAACUCCGUGCCAGCCGCCGCAGUAA
rnacentral:rRNA from 1 species